AAGUACUUCUCUUGUUAGAGAACCACGGAAAUCUUGGCAGAACACUGAAUUAACAGACAAAACAAGACAAAAAAGAGCGCACCUAGCAACUGAGACAGCCUUCAUCGGCGCCAUCUUGGAACCCUUCAUCGGCGCCAACUUGGUCAGAAAGCAACAAUCGUCCAGGAAGAAGAUACAUUCCCGAAUUGACAUUUAUUAACCACAUGGUACACAGGCACACUGUUUGGCCCCUAGCGCACAAACAAAACCGUCUCUUGUUAAACCCAGACGUAACAGAAAGAACAGACGCUAAACCUGUUCUUAACUUUGAAUGCUCCAUCCCCCUGCCCAACCACUCUCUAUGCCCCUUCGCCAACCACCAGGAUGCAAGGGCAUUCAACAUUCUGGGCAUUCCUGUGAUUAGCAGACAGCAAGUUGAUCGGCACGUCGGACCCCGCGAACACUACUGGGUUCACUUCAAACAUUAAAAGAAAGGAUGAGAUAGCAGACUUCUUCAAAAAGCUGAGCAAACAAGAUCAGGUGGAAAUAGACCCCAGUCCUUGCACCACCCCAAGACCUCAGAGCAGCUCCCUACCCAAGGCUACAGGCACCAGGUGAUGGGCUACCUGAGUAGCUGCCAGGGGGCAUCCCUGGAGCAGUGUGGACCGGGGGCAUGCCAGGCUGGGUCGCAGGUGGGAU